UGAAACGUAAAACAUGAGCCGGGAUGAGGUACGUACGUGAUAUCGUCUCAGAAAGGAGAAAGAGAUGCCGAUGACAAGAUAUCAGUGUUAUCAAUCAUGAAUCUGCUGCCUGCUGGCUGCUGCUACCCGCAGGCGCCCAUAUGGUCAAAGACAAUAAAAAAAAAACAUUCAGUUAUAAAGGUCAGAGAGAUCUAGAGCGCGCGCUUAAAAGAAGCAGGAAAACAAAAUUGAUUAUUUGUCCAGCCAUAACCUGAUAACCUUAUUCAAGAAACCUAUCAGUUGCCAGUAGAAGAGGCAGACAGCCGUUAAUAAGAUUGAUUAUUUGUCCCCUUGGGACAUUAGGA
rnacentral:lncRNA from 1 species